UACAGAGGUCUCGAGCGUUGUUCGGAUUCAUUGGGCGUAAAGGGUGCGUAGGCGGCGCCGUAAGUCGGGUGUGAAAUUUCGGAGCUUAACUCCGAAACUGCAUUCGAUACUGCGGUGCUUGAGGACUGGAGAGGAGACUGGAAUUCAUGGUGUAGCAGUGAAAUGCGUAGAGAUCAUGAGGAAGACCAGUGGCGAAGGCGGGUCUCUGGACAGUUCCUGACACUGAGGCACGAAGGCCAGGGGAGCAAACGGG
rnacentral:rRNA from 1 species